ACGCUCGACACCUACGGGGGCAGCAGUGGGGAAUAUUGCACAAUGGGGGAAACCCUGAUGCAGCAACGCCGCGUGAAGGAAGACGGUUUUCGGAUUGUAAACUUCUGUUCUUAGUGAAGAUAGUGACGGUAGCUAAGGAGCAAGCCACGGCUAACUACGUGCCCGCAGCCGCGGUAAUCUGAGCGGGCUGGCAAGGC
rnacentral:rRNA from 1 species